GACCACCCACCACCAGCAACAAGUCUGCUAGUUUUAUCUGUUCUGUGUCCUUUAAUUUCCUUAGAAGAAAUGGAAAUAAAAAGUUCUGUGUGUCUAAUUGUGAUAGUCAAAGGCAGGUUGAACAAAAAUAUAAUUUCAUUUCCUUAUCCACAAACAAUACGGGCUAUUAGCAUAGAUUAAUAGGUUAAUCUGUGCUAUUAGUGUGACGUCACGCAGCCAUUUUGGUUGUACGAGUUGGAAAAUUUUCUACUCAUAAUUUUCCAGUUGUGUUAGCCUCCUAAAUCAAAUUCCAAAAGCACGGGUAUCAAUUUUGAGACAUUCUGUAUAAGGAAUCUGGGCUGGUGAACUCUAGAACUACUCUGAAGCCUUGUUGUCCAUCAACUUCAUCUUCGACUUGUUCUCUUGCCUCAUCGUCUCCUUGUUCAGACAUCUCCUCGUUGUUAUAAUAUUUUUUCGAGUUUGCUUUAUAAAAACCUCUCUUCAAAAAACUCAUAGGUUCUUUGAGACUCCACACUCGUUGUGAACUGUAAAACUGCUCUAGAGCCUUCUAAUUCCUCUUCAGCUUCUACUUCUUCAAACCAUCUCUUUCAUAAUUAUAAUUUUUGAGUUUUCUUUAUGAAGGAGUACCUAUCUUGAAAAAAGUCAUUCGUUCUCGACUUCUGAUGUAUUAUUUGAUGUACAAUGGCGAGCAUUAAUUUAGUAAUCAGUGUCAUUCCGUAAUAUACCUUCUUGUCAAAAUUACACAGGGAAACUACUUUUUUUUUGACAAAAAGAUGAAGUUCCAAAAUGACAUUACCUACCAAAAUUUUAUGCUCGCCACUGUACCUCUUAAAAACAGUUUCUAUAAUUUUGAAGCGUGCCUCUAAAUAUGGUUUUUAAUCAAAACUAAACAGGAUAUUCACAAGUUGAACUGUUGUUGAAGUUUUUAGUGGUGAAAACAGUUUAUAACUUUUUUGAAAAGUUUAUAACUUUUUUCAUCUAGUAUUCUUUUUUUUUCACUCACUACUUAUUAGGUUAGUUUUGUGGCAGUAAACGAUCUAAUUUAUGCAUAGUCCACUAAACUGAAUAAACACUCUUGACAUAUGCGAUGUCUUCAUGGGGUUUCUUUUUAGGUAAUAACUACGAGGGGCACUAGAAAAGUAAUCUACCAAAAGUAAUCUACCUAAUAAUUAAACAAAAGACGUACAAUUUUUUGAUAAUUUAUUUUUUCAAUAUAAAUCCCUCCCUACAUCAAUCAAUACACUUGCACAUUUCUCCUCUACUAAAAGUUUAUCUUUAUAAAAAAUAUAUWCUCUUGGCUCUCAAAAAAUUCGUUGUYGGCUGCUUUUAGGCCAUCAUCAGAGUCAAAACGGCGUUUUCUAAAAWUUUUCUUUUGUAAUCGAAAAAGAUAAAAGUUAGCGGAAGCAAGUCCGGACUAUAGAGAAGAUGGUAUGUCUUAACGAAGCWGCAAAGUUUGCUUAAUUUUGGCAGCCUUAUGCACGGUCGCAUUCCCAUGCAGCGAAAACACUUCUCAAUUAGAAAAAACUGAGUCUUCUGGUGAAUUGCUUUACGUAAAUUUUCAACGUGUUUGCAUAGAUGUCCACAUUUAUUGUUGUCUUUUCACACUUUCACUUCGGGGAUUCUCGAACCCAUCUUAACUGUUUCGGUAGUGGUUUCGGCUAAAAUUUUAUUGUGUAAUGUGAUAUAUAACGUGUGCCAUCCUUCUAGACGUCAUUCAUUCUCUCACGGAUUCUUUCUGGUUAAUGGCCCUCUUUUGUCAAAAAUUUUAUGGCAUUGCUUUACUCUAAUUUUAAGUUACUCAUUUUUCCUCAUAAUUUCCUUUAUAAAUAUGGAAACUAAUGAUCACAAUUAACUUAAAUUUUGCAGGUAAUGUUAGAUACUUGUUAUAUGGAUAUCAUAUAGAUGUAUUUUCACAAUAAAAUAACUGUCGAAUUUAUAAAAUGACCAACAUUAUUAACCAAAAGUCACUAAACAAUAAGCAUGCAGUUUAUUUACAACUUUAUAUUAUACUGAAGAGUAUAAAAUAAGUUACAAACUUAACAUUCGCAAUUUCAUAGAAGUUGUUCCCAAUUUUCUUUCGCUUUUGUGCCCUAAUCCGAGGAAGAAGUAUUUGGGGGCAUUAUUGCAUUUUCCAUUUUUUCACUGAAACAAAACAUAACAAUUAGUACAUAAUGUAACUUCUUCUUUGCAGUUUUUUUUUUUGACGUAUAUUGCCUAUCAUGUAAGAUGUAAGCGUCAUGUAUAGCUAGAGCAGAAAUUUAAAAAAUCACACGCUACAAAAUCUACUGCAAAACACUUGUUCAACUUUAUCUCACAUAAAAUGAAGUUUAUUGACAUUUGAAUUAACAAGUCAAUAAAUAAGUAAAAAAAUUAAAUAAAGGACUAGGCACACUUUAUAUGGGAAUUUAAGGGCCACUCAAAUUGGAUAAUUUUUAUAUCAAUCAAGGCGUCUCAAAAAGCUGAACAAAUCAUAUCAUUGCUCCAAACGUGUAAUUAGGAGGGCCGGAAAUUGCAAUCAAAGUCAAGAUAUAUCCCAUAAGAAAAGUCUUGUGUCCGCUUUUUGGUCUGUACAAAGAGCUUAUAAAUAUUGGAGAUUUGCAAUAUUGCCGUAUAACUAUAACUAGUGGACUGGGGUUCAGGUACAAAGACAUAAGACCACGAAUUUAGAAAUCGGUCUCCUUUGUAUUUAUUCUCUGUACAACCAUCCUAAAUAAGUAAAGACACUUUUAUGGAUAUAGGGAUUUAAGCGGACAGAAGUUAAUAACUCCAACAGUGGGAAUAAUCCAAAUUCAAUCGCGACUUCUGGCGUUCCUAAUCAAGAUACACGUUUGGCGCAAUGAUAUGAUUUGUUUAGUUUUUUGAGUCCCGUCGAUUGAUAUAAAAAUUAUCCAAUUUGAGCGGUUCUUAAAUUCCCAUAUAAAGUGUGCCUAAUCCUUUAAAACUGGUAGAGAUUGAAAGCUGAAACAUCCAAAGUUGAAGCUCUUUGAACCCAAAGUGUUAUUGUAAAUGUAGACAGCAUUAAAAAACUGAACUUUAACUUGAUGUUAUUACAAUAUGUCAUAACUUUUAUAAACUUAUAUGUAAAAAGCCAAAUUUAGCCGAUAUAAACUUCUUAUUUUUUGACUUAUACAAUUGUCAUAUUUAUUCCAGUUUUUUUAGGACCACCGAUGGUAUYUUCCUAGUAUCUUAUUUUACAUGGCAUUUUUCUCUGAAGUGCAAAUUCUGAAACUGUAUAAGAUAUGAAGCUGCAUUUUAUUACCUUGCAAAUUCUUCGAUAGCCUUGAAGGCCGCAUCCAAGUAGUUGGAGUUGGUAAAUUCCAAAUUUAUUCUAAAACCAUCAAUUUCUUCAACAUCCUCAACUGCCUCUCCUUCUUUUACCUCUUCGACUUCUUGUUCAGUUCUUUCCAUAGUUAUAAUUAUUUUGGUGUUCUCCUUUUCGUAGCCUCUUAUCACAUUUAAAGUAAUUUUAAUUAACGUUGUACGUGGUAAAAAGCGUAUUCGCUUUCGAGUCUGCACAAUUAUGUAUUUUCCCAUAAUCUUCAGGUAUGCAUCUACGUAUCUCGCCCCAAACAAGACAAACAGGCAAGGAAAUUCACUCGUUUGCAAGUUGAAAUGAUCUUUUCGACUGCUGAUAUUUCCGUCAGCCGUUAAGUUUUUGGGCUGAAUUAAAAAAAAAAUUAUCCAUGGUUGAUAACUUUCUUGGUUCACUAUAUACACACCUAGCAUACUGAUUUCAUUUCACCACUUAACCACUUAUUUUAUUAGUAGUUGUUAGGUUAGUUAUCUGCACGGGGAUCAGGGGUAUGAUAUAGAAAAGAGAGCCUCUAACAGGCCUCCGGACUCUUCCGUAAUACGAUGAAAAAAAAAACAGUAAAGGAUAAAAAACUAUAAACAACACAACUCGAUUAACAACGCCAACUUACGAAUCAAACAGCGUUGCGAUCGCAGUGGUCAAACGUCGUAGAGCAAAAUGUACUAAAUUUUAAACCAACUUUAUUAUUAUUAUUACUGAAAAAAAUGGUGAAUUAAUUCACCGAAUCUUCUAAAAAGCGAACAACCAAAAGGUGCCUGCAAAAUACGGCGUGAAUAUAAAAAAAUUUGCUUGCACUCUUCAUUACUAUUCUCCGCGUGCUUAUAACUAUGUCAGAAUACAGUUGCACGACAGUUUACCACAUGAAAAAACAUUAGCGCGAUGGUAUUCGGCAGUGAAUGGUUCAUUGGAACAAGAGUACCUUUUUUAUAAAAAAAUAAUUGCACUUUUGAUUUUUGGCAUGAAAAAUACGUGUUAAUAGGCUGAGAAAAAGAGUUAUGACCCAAAAACUGUAAAGGUCCCAUUGUCACCGGAAAUUUAUAGCUUUUACAAGACUUCCGUUUACACCAUAUCAAAAAGUGUGUUUUUGUCCCUUGACAUGCAAAGUUUCAUAAUAAUGGGAUAAACGAUAAUAAAAAUAUUUCCAAAAAAUCAUUUUUCGUACCGAUUUUUGGAAAGCUGUAAUUUUUCUAUUUUUUGAGGUAGGUUAGUAAAUUUUGUGCUAUCUGUUCUUAUUUGUAGAGGAGUAUUCGUGGUUAAAAUUAUGCCACACAUUUUUGAAACAUCCGAUAUAACGUCCUUGGUCAAUUCAUAGUGGCCAUUUAAUUUAUUUCAAAGUUGGCAGGCUCUACCCCGUCACCUCUAGUUUGUUGGUUGUGUCUAUGUUGGCAUCAGAAGAAACUAAAUUGUGUCAACAAUUGUGAAAGGCGCAGUAGAUUUUGGUAUUAUAGAUAUUUCAAAAUAUAUUGAUAUUUUUAACUUAAUAAUUUUGGACUUAAAAAAUCAAAUUGUAACCAGAGACCCAAAGUAGUCCAAAAUUAUUUCUUUAGUACUUUUCCUUUUAUCUCCAUUGUUGUUUACAAGAUUUUGAAAUAGAUAUUAUUACAAAAUCAUGUUUUCCUUAUUAUAAUUUAUAACAUUAUAACUAAUUUGUGAAACACUUAAUCAAUGUCUAGUAUUAAAUAAUAAUUCUUGUUAAGAUAAUAACUUACAAAAACAGUUAUCUUCGUAACAAGUAUCGUAGGUACUUUCCUAGAAAUUAAAUUAGAGAAUUUUUGCAAAUCGUAAAAAAAUUUAACGUAUUACGACAAAUGGCCGUUGCUAAGAAAUUAAAAAAUAAGACGUUUACGUAAACGUCUUUGAAUUGACGGAAUACGCCUUUCGCCCUUGACAAGACAAUUAAAUGACGUUGUCGUUAAGGUUAACGUUAAAUUAAACGAUUUGCAAAAACUCUCUAAUGACUUUUCAGAACUAUUACAAAAGAACGAUAAAUUAAUAUUCCUCCCAACAGGGAAUAAAGUGAUGCUUUAUUUUUAUUCCCUCCUUUUUGAUUAAUAAACUGGAACUUUAUUCUCUGUAGAAUAAAAUGAAAAUGUAAUACCGAUUUUUACUCUAAAAUAAAAUGGAAUUGAAACUUU